rnacentral:rRNA from 1 species
UUGAACGCUGGCGGCAGGCCUAACACAUGCAAGUCGAGCGGAUGAAGGGAGCUUGCUCCUGGAUUCAGCGGCGGACAGGUGAGUAAUGCCUAGGAAUCUGCCUGGUAGUGGGGGAUAACGUCCGGAAACGGGCGCUAAUACCGCAUACGUCCUGAGGGAGAAAGUGGGGGAUCUUCGGACCUCACGCUAUCAGAUGAGCCUAGGUCGGAUUAGCUAGUUGGUGGGGUAAAGGCCUACCAAGGCGACGAUCCGUAACUGGUCUGAGAGGAUGAUCAGUCACACUGGAACUGAGACACGGUCCAGACUCCUACGGGAGGCAGCAGUGGGGAAUAUUGGACAAUGGGCGAAAGCCUGAUCCAGCCAUGCCGCGUGUGUGAAGAAGGUCUUCGGAUUGUAAAGCACUUUAAGUUGGGAGGAAGGGCAGUAAGUUAAUACCUUGCUGUUUUGACGUUACCAACAGAAUAAGCACCGGCUAACUUCGUG